AGCUCGUAGGUGGUUUGUCGCGUUGUUCGUGAAAUCUCACGGCUUAACUGUGAGCGUGCGGGCGAUACGGGCAGACUUGAGUACUGCAGGGGAGACUGGAAUUCCUGGUGUAGCGGUGGAAUGCGCAGAUAUCAGGAGGAACACCGGUGGCGAAGGCGGGUCUCUGGGCAGUAACUGACGCUGAGGAGCGAAAGCGUGGGGAGCGAACAGGAUUAGAUACCCUGGUAGUCCACGCCGUAAACGGUGGGUACUAGGUGUGGGUUUCCUUCCUUGGGAUCCGUGCCGUAGCUAACGCAUUAAGUACCCCGCCUGGGGAGUACGGCCGCAAGGCUAAAGCUCAAAGAAAUUGACGGGGGCCCGCACAAGCGGCGGAGCAUGUGGAUUAAUUCGAUGCAACGCGAAGAACCUUACCUGGGUUUGACAUGCACAGGACGCCGGCAGAGAUGUCGGUUCCCUUGUGGCCUGUGUGCAGGUGGUGCAUGGCUGUCGUCAGCUCGUGUCGUGAGAUGUUGGGUUAAGUCCCGCAACGAGCGCAACCCUUGUCUCAUGUUGCCAGCGGGUAAUGCCGGGGACUCGUGAGAGACUGCCGGGGUCAACUCGGAGGAAGGUGGGGAUGACGUCAAGUCAUCAUGCCCCUUAUGUCCAGGGCUUCACACAUGCUACAAUGGCCGGUACAAAGGGCUGCGAUGCCGCGAGGUUAAGCGAAUCCUUUUAAAGCCGGUCUCAGUUCGGAUCGGGGUCUGCAACUCGACCCCGUGAAGUCGGAGUCGCUAGUAAUCGCAGA
rnacentral:rRNA from 1 species